GAAUGGAAUAAGGAACGGGGAAAGCUACGGGAUCGACAUAAUAAUGUGACAGCUUGCAUCAGAAAACCUUUCUCAUCGCAAUUCUGUUGUCAGGACAAAAACAGCCUGAAUCUCGGCAGGUGCUACGGCAGUGUGUCAGAUUGCCAAUCCAAUUGCCCUAAUGAUCUUGAUCCUCAUGUGAAUGGAAUAAGGAAUGGGGAAAGCUACGGGAUCGACAUCAAUAAUGUGACAGCUUGCAUCAGAAAACCUUUCUCAUCGCAAUUUUGUUGUCAGAACAAAAACAGCCCGAAUCUCGGCAGGUGCUAUGGUAGCGUGUCAGAUUGCCAAUCCAAUUGGCCUAAUGUUCUUGACCCUCAUGUGUGA
rnacentral:lncRNA from 1 species